rnacentral:misc_RNA from 1 species
GUUUCAGAGUCAUGGCUCGGAAUUGAACGCUGGCGGGAUGCUUUACACAUGCAAAGUCGAACGGCGGCACGGACUUCAGUCUGGUGGUGGCGAACGGGUGAGUAAUGUAUCGGAACGUGCCUAGUAGCGAGGGAUGCUGCCGAAAGCGCUAGCUGUGCGCCAUGCCCCUUCGAGGAAAGCGAGACCUUCGGGCUCCUUUAUUCACGACGCUUGCGAUAUCGGACCAGCUACACGGUUGGUGGGAACUUGGCUCUGGGGCGACGAUCGUGACUGGUUUGAGAGGACGACCAGCCACACUGGGACUGAGACACGGCCCAGACUCCUACGGGAGGCAACAGUGGGGAAUUUUGGACGUGGAAGCCUGGUCCAGCCAUCGAUGAUGACCGUUAUUCGAAUUUGUAAAAGCACUUUUGGCAGGAAAGAAACGGCACGGGAUAUGCAUUGCAUGAUAAUGCCUGCAGAAUAAGCACCGGCUAACCUGUGCCUUAGCCGCGAUAUGCGUAGAUUCGACAAUG